ensembl:snRNA U6 U6 spliceosomal RNA
UCACUUCAGAAGUGCAUGUGAUAAAAUUGAAAUGAUACAGAGAAGAUUAUAAUGGCUUCUGCACCAGAAUGACCUGAAAAUUCACGGAGCAUUCCAUAUUAAA